CGUGAAGGAUAACGUUGCGUCAGCAACGGCCCAUAGGGCGAGGCGAAGCCGAGUCAUCCUGCACGACCCACCA
rnacentral:sRNA from 2 species